rnacentral:rRNA from 1 species
GACGAACGCUGGCGGCGUGCUUAACACAUGCAAGUCGAACGGAAAGGCCCUGCUUUUGUGGGGUGCCCGAGUGGCGAACGGGUGAGUAACACGUGAGUAACCUGCCCUUGACUUUGGGAUAACUUCAGGAAACUGGGGCUAAUACCGUAUAGGAGCCCCUCUUGCAUGGUGGGGGGUGGAUAUUUUCGGCGGUCGGGGAUGGAUUCGCGGGUUACCGGCUUGUUGGUGGGGUAGGGGAAUACCAAGGCUUUGACGGGUCGCCGGCCUGUGUGGGUGACCGGGCUCAAGGGGACUGCGGGACGGACCAGAGGCCUACGGGAGGCAGCAGGCGGGAAUAUGACACAGUGGGCGCGAGCCUGAUGCGGCGGCGCCGCGUGCGGGAUGACGGCCUUCGGGUUGAAAACCGCUUUCGCCUGUGACGAAGCGGGAGUGACGGUAAUGGGUAAAGAAGCACCGGCUAACUACGUG